rnacentral:lncRNA from 1 species
CAAGGGGACAAAACACAUUUAUGUUGUUUUCUUUCCCAGAAUAUUAAAGGGCAUGUACAAGGAUCCAGAAGAAUCGAUGUGAACCUUGAGCAGAAGGUUGUGCGUUCCUGUUUGGAGGAACUGAAGACCUUUCCAAAACGGUUUGAAUCAGCGUUUGUUAAGUGGGGCAGUCCUCUGUCUAACUCCUCUCUCUGGGCAGAGUAUCACAUCAGCUACAUCAACAGCUUUAGUGCCCUGAAAGAGCACAUGGAGAGCUAUCAAGACACCUGCCCGAUUCAGCUAGGGCUGGUUCAAAACGAAAUAGAUGGACUGACCACCAGAUUGAGUCAAGCUGUGAUGGAGGACUUCAAAACAGAUGUUAAGCCUUUCCUCAGGAGACAAAUGACAGGGAAAUGGUUUUCAUUUGAUGAAGACUUUUCAAAGCUGAUCAGCAGAACUGAGACUCUUUCUGAUCAAAGCAAGUACAUGACCCCAAAACAUAAACAGGUGAGAGUGCCAACCAGUUUGCUUCAUUAAUAUACACAUACAUUAAUGUAACCAUUCUACUACAACUUGAGAGACUGUUCCCUCCUGUUGGAAUGACCUGCCAAACUCAUUCCAAGCAGCUGAGUCCUUAAUCAUUUUCAAGAAACGGCUAAAAAUACUUCUCUUUCAUCUUUAUUUGACCCUCUAACUC